GAUGAACGCUGGCGGCGUGCCUAAUACAUGCAAGUCGAGCGAACGGACGAGAAGCUUGCUUCUCUGAUGUUAGCGGCGGACGGGUGAGUAACACGUGGAUAACCUACCUAUAAGACUGGGAUAACUUCGGGAAACCGGAGCUAAUACCGGAUAAUAUUUUGAACCGCAUGGUUCAAAAGUAAAAGACGGUCUUGCUGUCACUUAUAGAUGGAUCCGCGCUGCAUUAGCUAGUUGGUAAGGUAACGGCUUACCAAGGCAACGAUGCAUAGCCGACCUGAGAGGGUGAUCGGCCACACUGGAACUGAGACACGGUCCAGACUCCUACGGGAGGCAGCAGUAGGGAAUCUUCCGCAAUGGGCGAAAGCCUGACGGAGCAACGCCGCGUGAGUGUUGAAGGUCUUCGGAUCGUAAAACUCUGUUAUUAGGGAAGAACAUAUGUGUAAGUAACUGUGCACAUCUUGACGGUACCUAAUCAGAAAGCCACGGCUAACUACGUG
rnacentral:rRNA from 1 species